rnacentral:SRP_RNA from 1 species
AGGCAGCAGCGGUCAGGGGGGCCGAGAGGGUGCCUUCGGU